rnacentral:SRP_RNA from 2 species
GCUGGGCGUGGUGGUGCAUGCCUAUAAUCCCAGCUACUUGGGAGGCUGAGGCAGGAGAAUUGCUUGAACCCAGGAGGCAGAGGUCGCAGUGAGCCGGAAUCGUGCCACUGCACUCCAGCCUGGGUGACAGAGUAAGACUCUGUCUCCA